CACUAAGGUGAUUAUUUCCUCUUCAAGGAGCUAACUAGUGUCCUUCUCAGAACAUAGCACUUGGAAGAAAAGCCAGCAUGCCUAAUGUCCUUGCAGAGCAAGAGAUGCUGAUUUCCUUUGCCUUCCUUGAACUGCCUACAUAU
rnacentral:snoRNA from 1 species